UACAGAGGGUGCGAGCGUUAAUCGGAAUUACUGGGCGUAAAGCGUGCGUAGACGGUUUAUUUAAGUCGGGUGUGAAAGCCCCGGGCUCAACCUGGGAAUUGCAUUCGAGACUGAAUAGCUAGGGUACGGUAGAGGGAAGUGGAAUUUCCGGUGUAGCGGUGAAAUGCGUAGAUAUCGGAAGGAACAUCAGUGGCGAAAGCGACUUCCUGGACCAGUGCCGACGUCAGGCACGAAAGCGUGGGGAG
rnacentral:rRNA from 1 species